AACGAACGCUGGCGGCAGGCCUAACACAUGCAAGUCGAACGCUCCGCAAGGAGAGUGGCAGACGGGUGAGUAACACGUGGGAAUCUUCCUCGUAGUACGGAACAACUCAGGGAAACUUGAGCUAAUACCGUAUACGCCCUUCGGGGGAAAGAUUUAUCGCUAUGAGAUGAGCCCGCGUCCGAUUAGCUAGUUGGUGAGGUAAUGGCUCACCAAGGCUACGAUCGGUAGCUGGUCUGAGAGGAUGAUCAGCCACAUUGGGACUGAGACACGGCCCAAACUCCUACGGGAGGCAGCAGUGGGGAAUAUUGGACAAUGGGCGCAAGCCUGAUCCAGCCAUGCCGCGUGAGUGACGAAGGCCUUAGGGUUGUAAAGCUCUUUUGGCGGGGAAGAUAAUGACGGUACCCGCAGAAUAAGCUCCGGCUAACUUCG
rnacentral:rRNA from 2 species